rnacentral:rRNA from 1 species
UACGAAGGGGGCUAGCGUUGCUCGGAAUCACGGGGCGUAAAGCGCACGUAGGCGGAUUGCUAAGUUAGGGGUGAAAUCCUGGAGCUCAACUCCAGAACUGCCCUUGAUACUGGCGGUCUCGAGUCCGGGAGAGGUGAGUGGAACUGCGAGUGUAGAGGUGAAAUUCGUAGAUAUUCGCAAGAACACCAGUGGCGAAGGCGGCUCACUGGCCCGGUACUGACGCUGAGGUGCGAAAGCGUGGGGAGCAAACAGG